rnacentral:rRNA from 1 species
CCUACGGGAGGCAGCAGUGGGGAAUAUUGGACAAUGGGCGAAAGCCUGAUCCAGCCAUGCCGCGUGUGUGAAGAAGGCCUUCGGGUUGUAAAGCACUUUCAGUGGGGAAGAAAGCCUUGGGGCUAAUACCCUCGAGGAAGGACAUCACCCACAGAAGAAGCACCGGCUAACUCCGUGCCAGCAGCCGCGGUAAUACGGAGGGUGCGAGCGUUAAUCGGAAUUACUGGGCGUAAAGCGCGCGUAGGCGGUCUGAUAAGCCGGUUGUGAAAGCCCCGGGCUCAACCUGGGAACGGCAUCCGGAACUGUCAGGCUAGAGUGCAGGAGAGGAAGGUAGAAUUCCCGGUGUAGCGGUGAAAUGCGUUGAGAUCGGGAGGAAUACCAGUGGCGAAGGCAGCCUUCUGGACUGACACUGACGCUGAGGUGCGAAAGCGUGGGUAGCAAACAGGAUUAGAUACCCCAGUAGUC